GGUUGUGGCUCAGUGGUAGAGCGUUUGCCUAGCACAUGCGACGGCCUGGGUUCAAUUCUCAGCACCA
rnacentral:tRNA from 1 species